rnacentral:rRNA from 1 species
UACGUAGGGUGCAAGCGUUGUCCGGAAUUAUUGGGUGUAAAGAGCUCGUAGGCGGUCUGUCGCGUCGGCUGUGAAAUCCCGAGGCUCAACCUCGGGUCUGCAGUCGAUACGGGCAAACUAGAGUAUUGCAGGGGAGACUGGAAUUCCUGGUGUAGCGGUGAAAUGCGCAGAUAUCAGGAGGAACACCGGUGGCGAAGGCGGGUCUCUGGGCAAUAACUGACGCUGAGGAGCGAAAGCGUGGGGAGCAAACAGG